AUUGAACGCUGGCGGCAGGCCUAACACAUGCAAGUCGAGCGGAGCGGCGGACGGGUGAGUAAUGCCUAGGAAUCUGCCUUGGAGUGGGGGAUAACGACCGGAAACGGGCGCUAAUAACGCAUACUAGCAGAAGAGACUGGGUCGGAUUAGCUAGUUGGUGGGGUAAAGGCCUACCAAGGCGACGAUCCGUAACUGGGCUGAGAGGAUGAUCAGUCACACUGGAACUGAGACACGGUCCAGACUCAUACGGGAGGCAGCAGUGGGGAUUAUUGGACAAUGGGCGAAAGCCUGAUCCAGCCAUGCCGCGUGUGUGAAGAAGGUCUGCGGAUUGUAAAGCACGUUAAGUUGGGAGGCGUUACCAACAGAAUAAGCACCGGCUAACUUCGUGCCAGCAGCCGCGGUAAUAC
rnacentral:rRNA from 1 species